rnacentral:rRNA from 1 species
GACGAACGCUGGCGGCGCGCCUAACACAUGCAAGUCGAACGGAGCGCAGCGAGAAGAUUCCUUCGGGAUGAUUCAUGCUGUUGCUUAGUGGCGAACGGGUGAGUAACACGUGAGUAACCUACCCCGGAGUGGGGGACAACAUCUGGAAACGGAUGCUAAUACCGCAUAAGACCACAGAGCCGCAUGGCUCGGUGGCCAAAGGAGCAAUUCGCUCUGGGAUGGACUCGCGCCCGAUUAGCUAGUUGGUGAGGUAACGGCCCACCAAGGCAACGAUCGGUAGCCGGACUGAGAGGUUGAUCGGCCACAUUGGGACUGAGACACGGCCCAGACUCCUACGGGAGGCAGCAGUGGGGAAUAUUGCACAAUGGGCGAAAGCCUGAUGCAGCGACGCCGCGUGAGGGAAGAAGGUUUUCGGAUUGUAAACCUCUGUCUUCGGGGACGAUAGUGACGGUACCCGAGGAGGAAGCCACGGCUAACUACGUGCCAGCCGCCGCAGUAACAC